CUACGUGCCAGCAGCCGCGGUAAUACGGGGGGUGCGAGCGUUAAUCGGAAUAACUGGGCGUAAAGGGCACGCAGGCGGUGACUUAAGUGAGGUGUGAAAGCCCCGGGCUUAACCUGGGAAUUGCAUUUCAUACUGGGUCGCUAGAGUACUUUAGGGAGGGGUAGAAUUCCACGUGUAGCGGUGAAAUGCGUAGAGAUGUGGAGGAAUACCGAAGGCGAAGGCAGCCCCUUGGGAAUGUACUGACGCUCAUGUGCGAAAGCGUGGGGAGCAAACAGGAUUAGAUACCCUGGUAGUCCACGCUGUAAACGAUGUCGAUUUGGGGGUUGAGCUUUAAGCUUGGCGCCCGUAGCUAACGUGAUAAAUCGACCGCCUGGGGAGUACGGCCGCAAGGUUAAAACUCAAAUGAAUUGACGGGGGCCCGCACAAGCGGAGGAACAUGUGGUUUAAUUCGAUGAUACGCGAGGAACCUUACCCGGGCUUGAA
rnacentral:rRNA from 1 species